ACAAAUUAAAAUCAAGAAACAGAAAACAUCUAAUUUAAUAAUGGACAAUUAAAGACGGAGUAGUUUUAAUAAUAGUAAUAAAAACUAAUAAAAUAAUCCUCCCUCAUUCUUGAUUUUGCCUUUUUAUUUUCCAAGACAAAAAACAAACAAACUAUAUACAUAUAAUAACCCCAUCUUUGUAAAAAUCGAUUCUUGAAACAAAAAAACAAAAAUCAAGAAACACCCUUUUUCUUGUUUUUUUGCCUUUACCCUUCUUGUUGUUUUGGAUUUUGGAUUUGUGGGUAUUUUUUCUUUUGCUUUUUUGUAGUGAAAGAAAACAAGAAAGGGUGUGAAGAAAAUGGCACAAAAUGAGCAGCAGCAUAAUGAUCAUCAGCAGCAAGGGUUAAUAGAGGGAGCGGUUCUUGAUGAUAUAAUAAACAGGUUAUUGGAGUUUAGGAAUGCAAGAACUGUAAGGCAGGUACAGAUUUCUGAAGCUGAGAUCCGUUCCCUUUGUAGUGCUUCAAGGGAAAUCUUCCUUCAACAACCUAAUCUUCUUGAACUUGAAGCCCCUAUCAAGAUCUGUGAUAUAUAAAUUUUGAAUCCCUUAAACGACGUGCAAAAUUUUAGCUAAGUGGUCCAGCGCAUUCAGCAUCCACGACAGCGUCCAAGGUUCAACUCUUUGUGUUGUUUUUUUAUGACCCUUAUGAAAAAUCACGCCCCUUUUACGUGGGAGGGCCCCUGGGCAAAAAAUUACACUGUUUAUAUAGAGUAUAUCUUUUUUGUGUGUUUUUAUGUAUUAUGUGGAUAUAUAAAUUUUGAAUCCCUUAAACAUGUAAGAGGUUAGGGCAAAAUAUAGGGGUGAAUUCCUUUGUGUUGUUUUUUGAACAAAAUGCGCCUUUUUAUCCUUCUCCAUUUAAAUAUCAAGCUUAGUUUGCAUGAUGUGAAGUCUUGGGAGGUGGGAGGGCCCUUUGGUGAAAAAAUAUGUUGUAUGCAUAGAGUAGAUUUUUUGUGUUUCUUAUUUAGAUAUAUAAAUUUUGAAUUCCCUAAACAACAUGUACAAGGUUAGUGCAAAGUCUAUUGGCAAAUGUGUCCAGGGAUGGAUCUUGGGAAGUGGGCGAGCCCCUCGGCUAAAAAUUACAAUUUAUACAUAUAGAGUAGAUCUUUUGUGUUUGUUGACGUAGAUAUAUAAAUUUUGAAUCUCCUAACAAUGUGCAAAAGGUUAGCAAAGUGGUCCAGGGCAUUCAAAAUCGCUCCAAUAUCCAAGGUUCAAGUCUUAGGGGCUGUAUGGUUUAUUACAUUUUUAUUUUCUAACCCCCACCUGUGGUGUGACCUCUCUUUGUCUUUCUUUAUAUAGGCAAAUGUAAUAUAUAUAUGUGUGAGUUAUUUAUAUUGUUGAUGACAAAUAGCUUGAGACUGUUGAUAUAUGAUUUCUAAUCUUAAAAGGUAUAAAGAAUUUAUGAAAAUUUUUUUAUAUCAUAAAAAUGACAACUUUUUGGCUAAAUUUGGUAAUUGAUUUUAUCCCUGACGUGGAAGGGAUAGGUGGGUGAGGUUUUUGAGGUAGGUAAUUGUGUGUAUUUUGUUUGGUCAAAUUUGUAUAUGCCUCAAUCUGAAAUUAUUUGCUGUCAACUAUAUGAAUCCUCAGUAUUUGUUUCGCGUUGUUUGCACACGUUUCAUACCGGUGCUCAUAAAAGACAAAUUAGGGCUUCUUUAUAUUUUCUGCUUAUUUGAAAGGGAUAGGUGGGUGAGGUUUUAUGAGGCAGGGUAACAUGUACAGAUAUUGUUUGGUCAAAUUUGUAUAUGCCUCAAACAAAUGUGGUUGACUCCAUGAAUCCUCAGAAUUUGCUUCGCAUUGUUUGCACACGUGUGGAGGUUGUAGAUUAGGGUAGAAGGUUAAUGCGUGUGUGGGUUGUAGCUAGUAGUUAGGGAGCUCUGGUUUAGCCGGCUUAGUAAGCCUACGACUGUGCCCACUGGUAGGAGCCGUUAGUGUAUGCUAUUACGAGGGGGUGGCCUUUUCUUAUUUCUUAUUUACUGUUUUUUUUACUUUCGUAUUGCUCUUAUUUUCAUGGCUCUCUUAGCUCUAUUUGUAUUAUUUCUCAUUUCUUAUUUCGGUUAUGCCAUCCAUUCUACUUCAGAUAUUACUAUGACCUUGUUAACUAUUCUUUAUCUUGAGCCGGGGGUCUAUCGGAAACAGCCUCUCUACUUUUUCGGAAGUAGCGGUAUGGACUGCGUACAUUUUACCCUCCCCAGACCCCACUUGGUGGGAAUUCAUUGGGUUUGUUGUUGUUGUUGUUGUUUGCACACAUGUCAUCUUGUUACUCAUAAAACACAAAUUAGAGCUUCUCUAUAUGUUCUACUGAUUUGGAAGUAAAGUGUCGAGUCUGUAAAGGGUUUAUCGGAUGGGUAAGAAAAACUUUGGUCUAUUCGAUUCAAGUUCAAGACUGAUUGAAUAGAGCUACGCCCAUCAGUGUUGUGCUCAUCAUCCCGCA